rnacentral:rRNA from 1 species
AUUGAACGCUGGCGGCGUGCCUAACACAUGCAAGUCGAGCGGUAACAGGUGUAGCAAUACAUGCUGACGAGCGGCGAACGGGUGAGUAAUGCUUUGGAAUCUUCCCAGUAGUGGGGAAUAACCAGUCGAAAGAUUGGCUAAUACCGCAUACGUCUGUAAAGGGAAAGCGGGGGCUCGUAAGACCUCGCGCUAUUGGAUGAGCCAAAGUCGGAUUAGCUAGUGGUGGGGGUAAUGGCCUACCAAGGCGACAAUCCGUAGCUGGUCUGAGAGGACGACCAGCCACACCGGAACUGAGACACGGUCCGGACUCCUACGGGAGGCAGCAGUGGGGAAUAUUGGACAAUGGGGGAAACCCGUGAUCCAGCGACGCCGCGUGUGUGAAGAAGGCCUGC